rnacentral:rRNA from 1 species
GACAGAGGGGGCAAGCGUUGCUCGGAAUUACUGGGCGUAAAGAGCUCGUAGGUGGUUUGUCGCGUUGUUCGUGAAAACCGGGGGCUUAACUCUCGGCGUGCGGGCGAUACGGGCAGACUGGAGUACUGCAGGGGAGACUGGAAUCCCUGGUGUAGCGGUGGAAUGCGCAGAUAUCAGGAGGAACACCGGUGGCGAAGGCGGGUCUCUGGGCAGUAACUGACGCUGAGGAGCGAAAGCGUGGGGAGCGAACAGG